rnacentral:rRNA from 1 species
GAUGAACGCUGGCGGCGUGCUUAACACAUGCAAGUCGAACGAUGAAGCCCAGCUUGCUGGGUGGAUUAGUGGCGAACGGGUGAGUAACACGUGAGUAACCUGCCCUUGACUCUGGGAUAAGCCUGGGAAACUGGGUCUAAUACUGGAUAUGACUUCUCAUCGCAUGGUGGGGGGUGGAAAGAUUUAUUGGUCUUGGAUGGACUCGCGGCCUAUCAGCUUGUUGGUGAGGUAAUGGCUCACCAAGGCGACGACGGGUAGCCGGCCUGAGAGGGUGACCGGCCACACUGGGACUGAGACACGGCCCAGACUCCUACGGAAGGCAGCAGUGGGGAAUAUUGCACAAUGGGCGCAAGCCUGAUGCAGCGACGCCGCGUGAGGGAUGACGGCCUUCGGGUUGUAAACCUCUUUCAGUAGGGAAGAAGCGAGAGUGACGGUACCUGCAGAAGAAGCGCCGGCUAACUACGUG